GAUGAACGCUGGCGGCGUGCCUAAUACAUGCAAGUCGAGCGAACGGACGAGAAGCUUGCUUCUCUGAUGUUAGCGGCGGACGGGUGAGUAACACGUGGAUAACCUACCUAUAAGACUGGGAUAACUUCGGGAAACCGGAGCUAAUACCGGAUAAUAUUUUGAACCGCAUGGUUCAAAAGUGAAAGACGGUCUUGCUGUCACUUAUAGAUGGAUCCGCGCUGCAUUAGCUAGUUGGUAAGGUAACGGCUUACCAAGGCAACGAUGCAUAGCCGACCUGAGAGGGUGAUCGACCACAUUGGAACUGAGACACGGUCCAGACUCCUACGGGAGGCAGCAGUAGGGAAUCUUCCGCAAUGGGCGAAAGCCUGACGGAGCAACGCCGCGUGAGUGAUGAAGGUCUUCGGAUCGUAAAACUCUGUUAUUAGGGAAGAACAUAUGUGUAAGUAACUGUGCACAUCUUGACGGUACCUAAUCAGAAAGCCACGGCUAACUACGUG
rnacentral:rRNA from 1 species